rnacentral:tRNA from 1 species
UUGGGCCGUCGUCUAACGGUAGGACACGCGGCUUUGGACCGUUGAAUGGAGGUUCGAUUCCUUCCGGCCCAGU